CUCUGGCAUCCACAUUGAUAAAUGACUGAAGAGAGCAAAGAUGGAGUCUCACUUUGUCACCAAGCUGGAGUGUGGUGGCAUGAUCUUGGCUCACUGCAACCUCCCAGGUUCAAGCUAUUCUCCUGCCUCAGCCUCCCGAGUAGCUGGGACUACAGGCGCACGCCACCACACCCAGCUAAUUUUUGUAUUUUUAGUAGAGACAGGGUUUCACCAUGUUCGCCAGGGUGGUCUCUAUUUCUUGACCUCGUGAUUUGCCCACCUUGGCCUUCCAAAGUGCUGGGAUUACAGGCAUGAGUCACUGUGCCCGGCCUAAUUUUGAUUUUUUAA
rnacentral:lncRNA from 1 species